AGGGUUUGAUCAUGGCUCAGGAUGAACGCUAGCGGCAGGCCUAAUACAUGCAAGUCGAACGGUAACAUUGGUGCUUGCACCAGAUGACGAGUGGCGCACGGGUGCGUAACGCGUAUGCAACCUACCUUUUACUAGAGUAUAGCCCAGAGAAAUUUGGAUUAAUCCUCUAUAACAUCUUUAAGUUUCAUAAUUUUUAGAUUAAAGUUUUAAUGGUAAAAGAUGGGCAUGCGUCCUAUUAGUUUGUAGGUGAGGUAACGGCUCACCUAGACUACGAUAGGUAGGGGCCCUGAGAGGGGGAUCCCCCACACUGGUACUGAGACACGGACCAGACUCCUACGGGAGGCAGCAGUAAGGAAUAUUGGACAAUGGACGAAAGUCUGAUCCAGCCAUGCCGCGUGCAGGAUGAAAGCCCUAUGGGUUGUAAACUGCUUUUAUACAGGAAGAAACACUCCGACGUGUCGGAGCUUGACGGUACUGUAAGAAUAAGGAUCGGCUAACUCCGUGCCAGCAGCCGCGGUAAUACGGAGGAUCCAAGCGUUAUCCGGAAUCAUUGGGUUUAAAGGGUCCGCAGGCGGUCUUUUAAGUCAGAGGUGAAAGCCUACAGCUCAACUGUAGAACGGCCUUUGAUACUGAAAGACUUGAGUUAUUGUGAAGUGAUUAGAAUGUGUGGUGUAGCGGUGA
rnacentral:rRNA from 1 species